rnacentral:rRNA from 1 species
UGCAGUCGAACGGCAGCGACUUAACUGGACCUUCGGGGAACGUUAAGGGCGGCGAGCGGCGGACGGGUGAGUAAUGCCUGGGAAUAUACCCUGAUGUGGGGGAUAACUAUUGGAAACGAUAGCUAAUACCGCAUAAUCUCUUCGGAGCAAAGAGGGGGACCUUCGGGCCUCUCGCGUCAGGAUUAGCCCAGGUGGGAUUAGCUUGUUGGUGAGGUAAUGGCUCACCAAGGCGACGAUCCCUAGCUGGUCUGAGAGGAUGAUCAGCCACACUGGAACUGAGACACGGUCCAGACUCCUACGGGAGGCAGCAGUGGGGAAUAUUGCACAAUGGGGGAAACCCUGAUGCAGCCAUGCCGCGUGUGUGAAGAAGGCCUUCGGGUUGUAAAGCACUUUCAGUAGGGAGGAAGGUAGUGUAGUUAACACCUGCAUUAUUUGACGUUACCUACAGAAGAAGCACCGGCUAACUCCGUGCCAGCAGCCGCGGUAAUACGGAGGGUGCGAGCGUUAAUCGGAAUUACUGGGCGUAAAGCGCAUGCAGGCGGCCUGUUAAGUCAGAUGUGAAAGCCCGGGGCUUAACCUCGGAAUUGCAUUUGAAACUGGCAGGCUAGAGUCUUGUAGAGGGGGGUAGAAUUUCAGGUGUAGCGGUGAAAUGCGUAGAGAUCUGAAGGAAUACCAGUGGCGAG